GAAAUCUGAGAAGAAGACGAAGCGGCCCGUCAAAGACUCCGAGCGCUUAGACUUGGAUAUAUUUUACAUAGUUUACUGUCAAGCAAACACUUUUGACUAAUUGACCGCCCGUGUUGUUUCCUGUACAAUCGUCCCUUGAAAUUCGAAAGACUCGAAUUCGGACUUUUCAAGAUUCGAGAUGUUGGCGGAUGCCCUCUUUUUUUUUUUUUUUUUUUUUGACUUGUGAGCGCUGACUUGAGAUGCGAGCGCCGAAUGGUGGCAGUGAACUCAACUCACUUCCCAAAAUCAGCACUUUGCCAAACAGUGAACGAUUCUUUUAAAAAAAAAAAAAAAAAAAAAAAGCCUUCAAGGUGUUUUUGGCCGCGCCCACUUGAAGUUCACGCAAAAAUUAAACAUUAAACCAAGAAUUACACCUUGUACAUUUACAAGCAGAGGCACGCGUUACAUUGACACAAGUAACAUUUUGCAUAAAUUGUACUUGUCACAAUAGAUGUAAUGCAUCAUACUUUUAACUUUUACUGGAGUAUUUGUAUGAAGAAGAAACGCAGGAACUUGCGUCUCAGCCAAACUUUUGACCUUGCGCGUAUGGCAACAUUCGCCCUAUUUUCUGCUGAUAAGUAGGUACACAGAUACUUCAAAUGACUUUGACUCAAGUAGCAUUCUAAAAGUUGACUUUAGUGUCUCGCAAAGUGAUUUAGUGUUAAGAUACUUGUACUUCUCCUCAAGUAUUGCUUUCACUGACCUACCUUCACCAUGUGUUGCACCGUCGCUGCCGCCGAGGAAGAGCACGAGGAAGAGGAGCGCCUUCAUCUUGCAGGCUCGAAGCUUCUGCUCCACUGCUCCAGACGCUCAACUGCAGCAGCUGACCCCGGGCCAAUCACGGUGCAGAGAAUUGCUGGUGUCAUCGGUGAGAAACAACACGUUGACGCCGUGCACGCACGCCAACAGGAAGUGAAGGAUCCCGUCGUCGCACUCCUGCAAGAAGGAAGCGGGAAGCAUCUUACUGACGAGCGGCCAGUCACCGUCAUUCAGUGAGCGUUGGGGCGUGACCGGACCUGGCU